ensembl:lincRNA
UGGAGAGCAAGGGGGAAGAGUGAAGGUGAGGUGGUGAUGGGGAACUUUCAUUUAUCAUUCUGUCAUUUUGUUUGCUGUGGCUGCUGGUUACAUCAUUGCUUCGAGUGUGGCUGUGCAACUGAUUUAGUGCCCCCUGUAAAUGAGAGAAGAAAUUUGGAAUUUGGGCAGUGUGCCAGUGAUAGCUCGCCUGCUCUUCAAGAAAGAUGCCGUGGGGUCUUUAAUGUCCCACAACUAAUGCUGGAAGAGGGGUGCCCUGUUGAACGUUCAUCUGAAGGACGGCACACACAUUGAUCCCUUUCCAUGUCUGUGAAACACGACGGUUACAGUUUAUAGCCGCAUCGGGAUUCAAACCCAAGCUGGACAACUCAGCGGCAAGUGUGCCCACCUCAAGGCCAUCCUGCCAGCCCACAUGGGGCGAACAAACUGGUUGUAAACCCCACAUUGAUGGGAUAAAAUACAGAGUAAAGAAAAUAACAUGUACAACAUUUCCUUUUUUAACAUUACUAUUGUGUCCCUGGCAGGUCAUCGGUGAAAUGGACAACUUCUUGGAAUGGCUCCAAUCACAUGGUCUGAGAGCAGAAACAGCCCAAGCAGUGAUCAAUGUACUUGGAAUUGAGAAUUGGAAUGUUCUUCAAGCUUGUACGGACUCCGACGCAUUGCGAACAGAGCUCCUCUCUCUCACCAAAGAGAAAUUUAAAUUUGCAAUGUACGCUGACUUCUGUAAAUUUACAAAAUCUUUUUUGAAGCCACAGGUUGUCCAGCUUGCAGGAUCUUCUCUGUUGGGAAGUGUGUUCGUCAACUUAGAGAACGUUAAUAGAGAACUUUCCAUUUUCUGCCAAAAGCUUGUUGGAUUCCAACAUGUGCAGCUGGAAAAUGUUCCUGAUUUCCAGGGAAUCGGUUUCAGUGAUGUCUGCAACCUCCACUGUCAGGAUGAAGGAUUAACACCCAAGUCUGGUGAUGUCUCUCCUGCAAAUGUGAAAUCCAGACGACACAACAAUUCAUCUGUUUCAGAAACUUCAAGAUAUUUUUCUGGAACGGAAGAUUCAGAUGUUCAUUUGACAAAUGGCAGUCCUGUCUGUUCUGCAACAGAACAAUCAAGGAGUCCAUUUGGGCAGAUAAGAUCCAGGAGCAGUGUCACAGUGAAGAAGAUAUCCCCUUUGAAGAAACAAUCCCAAGAACAAGACUCACAACCUUCAAAAUACAAGUAUCACAAUUUCAAAUGGAUCUUCAUGAAAGUUCAUCACAUGGAAGAGUUUGUCAUGAGGAAGAAGCCUGUUGUUUUUUAAGUCAAAAGGUCAACAUAGGCCAAAGGUCAACAUCUCAGGUGAGACAUCUCAACAAAUCCUCAAUUUUCAUGUGAUUGACUUGGAAUUUGAAGAGGAGAUGCAUAUUUGGUCAUUCAAGUCAACCACCAAUUAUUUCUUUUUGAGGUCAAAUUUGUUUCAUUGAUUUUUUCAAGUAUCGUGAUCUGCACGACGUCUUCUUCUUGAUUGUUUGAUAUCUCAAAAAGUUGGAGAUGGAGACGGAUGAAAUUUGGUGGGCUGGUUGGGUGUCUGACAAGGACAAACUGAUUAGAUUUUGGUGAAGAUCCGGAUCCAGAUCGGCCAACAGCCAGCCAGUUCAACAAAUUCUGCAAUUCACAGAGAUGUGGUCCACAGAUAACCUUUUUCAAAUGUUUGCGAAAACUGCAUUAGACGUCAAUAUAUUUUGGGAUGGAAUGGACUCUGUUCGGGAUGACAUCCACAAGGAAUAACUGCCUUAGGUCGUGUAUGUGAGCUACCCAGCAUACCCAUUCACGCAGAUAAGUUACACACCGCUGCACUUGCAUUCUUUCGUAUCAUCGGCUAAGAUUCAACUCAUAAAUUCACUUUCGCGAUCCACUUGUCGUGCAUAUUUUGCCAAAGGCACAGAGAGAGAGAGAGAGAGUGAGUUUUUCAUUUAAUUGUUCAUUGUUCUUUUACAUUCUCCAGCCACAGGAAAUAAAUACCGUAUAAACAGAGUAAAAUGCUUACUGCCCUUUGUGGCUUCCCCAGAAUUUGCCGAGUCUUCAUGGCUUUCCGAAAGGUUCACCCUGGUUGAUAAAAUUAUUUCUCCACCAACAUCCAGAGGCGGGGGGGGGGGGGGGGGGGGGGGGGGGGGGGGGGGGGGGGGGGGGG